rnacentral:misc_RNA from 1 species
GUUUUACAUCCCUACAUAGAAUACUGAAACUGUUCGUAAAUCAUUAAUUUAUUCGGGAUCAUGUAUCUUCCUCAUCACUUUAAACUUGUUACGUCUGUUUUCCUACUUAAGGAGUAACCACACAUCUAUUUUACGGACUUGACACGCUAGAAAAGAAUAGACCUAGACUCUUAUUGGAAACAAAUAGGAAUGGAACGAGGACGAACGUUUUACAUCACACUGGUCAGCGGUCUCGUGGCGUUAGUGUUGUUACUGGUUUCUUUGUACCUUCCGGCACAACUGGUGUUCGAAUCCAAGCCCUACGCUCUGGUUGUUUUGAAAAGUGGUAAUCUGGAUGGAUGGAGUGCCGAGGAGCUAGGACUUACCUCUGCCCAACUGGACAUGGUGAAGAACAAUUAUGAGGAAUUUCUCAGCAGGCACAAGACAGCAGACGACAGUGAGGAUAGCGAUUCGUCAGACGAUGACGAUACCGACGGAAGCCACAAAAUAGUACACAUGGAUAACCUGAAGAGUUCCGACAAAGUUUCGUAUCAUACCCAUGCUCAUGGCGGCAAAGAAAACCAUGAAAAUGAUGACAAUGAUGAUCGUGAUAACAAUGCUGACGAUGAUGAUGAUAAUCAUAACGAUGAUGAAGGCAAUAAUGAUGAUGAUGACGAUGACAAAAGGAGGAAAAGGCGUGAUGCUGAUGAUGAUGACGAUGAUAAAGGAGUCGAAGCAGAAGAUGGCGAUGACGACUGAUGAUGAUGAUGAUGAUGACGACGAAAGCAGUUCCUCCUCCUCCUCCUCUGAUGAUGAUGACAGCGAUGAAGAAUCAUCGAGUGAUUCGGUUGUACUUACGCUUGAACAAAGACUUCAGGGCAAAGCUGUGUCGCAGACAGUAGGGUUUGGCCUUUUUCAUGGAACGAUGUGUUCAGUAAUGAAGACUUUGAAAGAAAAAUGUCAUUCCAUAUCUGUCAAUGAAGCGAUCUUUGCUAUGAAACAAGAAGUGACUUUUAU